rnacentral:misc_RNA from 1 species
AAACAUAACUGUCAUGCAAGCUAGCCCGUAUGCAUUUCCAAUCAAAGUUGUAUCUUGGAACCCGAUAGCCACAGCAAGAGUGAGAAUCAUCAGGAUCCAAUUUAUUUCUGGUACAUAGAUCUGCCCUUUAUGCUUUGAGGUGUGGACAAUCUUGACCCGCGGGAAGCAACCUAGUGAAUUACAUUGCUUGACGAUUGAGAAUGUGGCUGUGAUGAUAGAUUGGCUGCCUACAAUGGCUGCAAGGGUUGCAAUAACAAAAACAGGCCAGUAUACACCAUCAGGUAUUGAGCUAUAGAAGCUAUUUGGAAUGGAAUCUAGAUUUUUUGACAGAAAAGCAGCUUGACCCAUGUACUGUAUCACCAAGCACGGAUACACCACAAAUGCAAAUGUAAUCCUCAUGGAGAAGGCAGAGAAAUGACCAAGAUCUGCAUACAUAGCUUCA